UCUCCGUUGGUGAACCAGCGGAGGGAUCAUUACCGAGUUUACAACUCCCAAACCCAAUGUGAACGUUACCAAACUGUUGCCUCGGCGGGGUCACGCCCCGGGUGCGUCGCAGCCCCGGAACUAGGCGCCCGCCGGAGGAACCAACCAAACUCUUUCUGUAGUCCCCUCGCGGACGUUAUUUCUUACAGCUCUGAGCAAAAAUUCAAAAUGAAUCAAAACUUUCAACAACGGAUCUCUUGGUUCUG
rnacentral:misc_RNA from 1 species